AGACACCUAAAGGCCUCCGCUAUGUGGGCGGUGACCCGCCCGUGACGUAAGCUCCAGACGCCUGAGAAGUGGAAGGACCCGGCGUCCAGGACAGGAAAGUGCGUGAUUUACAGCUAGAGGGAUAGGCGCUGUCCCGGAGCCCGUCCUGGGCCAGGGAGCAGGAGAGGGAGGGACUACAGUUCCCGACGCGCUGCGGGGCGGGCGGAGAUCGUGCGCUUCGGCGCCAGUUGCACGGCCUUAGCAGCCAGUGGCGGCUCCCCUGCUCCUGUAACAGUCCCCUUGUCUUCUGACCUUUCGCUCCUCGGUCAUGUGUCCUCGCCGGUCGCCGCGGCAGCCAGUGAUGCCCGAGCGGCGGGUUCCCAGGCCCAGGUGUGGGCGCCACCGCCCACCAUGCGCCAAGCCCAGAGCCUGGUUGAAUCGUUCGCCACCUUGUCUACCCAUUUUGGCCAUUAUCCUGCCACCUCCAAAUCCUGUUUUUGACACUUCUCGGGAGAGAGAGAAAACGGAAAGAUAAAGGAAUAAACUCCUCGUGGUCGUAGUUAGUGGGUAAAUUCAGAUCUCGUUUGAACCGAGGUUUUUCUUAUCUCCAGCCACCGUAUCCACCACCACCAGAAUCGUCUUUUUAGUCAUCACAGCUGGUCGCCGUCAGUACCUUGUUCAGAAGCCUCUCGCAGCUUCCAUCGUGUGGUUAUACAAUCCAAAUUCCUUAUAAAGUCCAAAUUCAAGAGGAGGAAUGCACGUUUAGUUAAGUUAAUGUCUAGACCUUACCAGCCAAUUUCUAGCUCCUCAGUAUGGAAAUUGCAACUGAAAACACCCCUUCCAAAAAAAGCAGUCUGCAUUUUUCUCUGAGUUUUCUUCUCCAAAUUUCGCACCCCUGACCUUGCUUACACACUCUGGAUACCACCUGCUGUGGAGUGGCGGAAGCAGACAUCCAGCGAUAGCUAAGUUUCCUGUCGUUGACACCCAAGCAAGACAGGCGUGUACCUAACUGAGGACCUGCCGGUGAUAGAAGUCUCAGCUUUUCUCAGAGACAGAUGAGUCUUCCCUUUAAAUGCUGCAAAGUGCUGCAUAGUAGAUGUUAAAUGAAAGUCAGAAAGAAUCAAAUGUGCUGCAAAUAAUUGAAGUUAUUCCCCAGCCUCCCUGCACCUGACAUGUGAUUAAGUUCUACCAGCCAAACAUCAGCAAAAGGGGCCUGGCCCCUAGGGCCUUCCUGUGCUCUUUGUCACUUCCUGCUGACUGGAAGAGGGAUGAAUCCCAGGACCCUGAGCUGGUGGUUAAGUUACUGUCUCUCGGCCCCACACCUUCCCUUUUAUACUCUGCCUUGUGACGUAGGGACUGGGGAGCCACGUGCCACCUCUCCUGCCAGAGUUCUGUUCAGCUGUGCCAACAGAUAUACACAAGGAAACCAGAAGAUAAGAGUUCAACCCAAUGGAAAUAGAUUAAAAGAGUGAAAGUCACUGGUCUCAAAGAAUCUACGGAAUUCAGCAUUUUGGAAAUCACAUAGCAAUUUUGGGUAGGUAUUCACAUGCACUAAAAAACCAGGCAAACAUCCGACUCCCAGGAUAAAGUGACUGAGAGCAGUAGAAGACUUGUUGAGCCGUAAGGAAUAAGAGGAAAAUUAUGUUAUGAAGUGCAGGAACAGCACAGACCCAGACGAGGGGAUGCAGCCCAGAGCCAGUAACCCGGUGCCUCCUCCUCCCCAGGAAGCAGCGCUGGCUGAUCCCCAGAUACCAUGAUCACACCGUCCCAGGUCCUGAGAGCGCCUCAUAGGUAGACAGUUCUUUGGGACUUUUGGGACGCAGCACUUGAAGAGAGGUCUACCUAAACUUUCCUCCUGGGAGCCUGUGAUCAUUUGAAAGUAACAGAAGAAAGUUGUCAGGCUGAGGA
rnacentral:lncRNA from 1 species